rnacentral:rRNA from 1 species
AGGACCACUCCUGUCCGAGGGCCGGCUGCAUAAAAAACAAACACCACAUUGCGUACGUCCAGUCGGGCGUACGCAUGUGACGGUUCGUCGGUGCCAAUGGGACCGAACGUCCGUUUAAAAAUGAGAUUAAUGUCGCAAUCCUAUUUGCGCGAAGGGUGCGCGUUCUGUGCUCGGUCUGUCGUCAGUGCGUCAAUAUGCACGCUGGCGUUGCAACGCGCUCGCGGUCCCUCGAUAACUCGUCGAUGACGUCGAUCCCGCAGGGAUCGAAUCUCGUGAGGGUGAUUCGAUUUGUGACCGUCGGACGCGCGUACGGUGCGCUGUGCGUGUGCACUGCGAUGACAUUUCGAGCGCGCGCGCUCCCUCCGUACACAGUUCAGUAGGCGGACUCGACGUCCGAAGAGGCGCGUCGACGGCACGCACCUUCGGGGCGUGCGCAGAGUUGUUGUUCUUGAACAAUGCGUAUGCGCUCGCCGUUGUCGGAGCGUCCGUCGUAGCGCUGACGGAUAUCGAGUCUGCCUCACAUUUUUUAUCGUUGGCCUCGGAUCAGGGAGGAUCACCCGCCGAAUUUAAGCAUAUCAAUAAGGGGAGG